GUGACAGCAGCCGCGGUAAGACGUAGGGCGCAAGCGUUGUCCGGAUUUAUUGGGCGUAAAGAGCUCGUAGUCGUCUUGUCGCGUCGACUGUGAAAACCCGUGGCUCAACCAUGUGGUCUGCAGUCGAUACGGGCAGGCUAGAAUUCGGUAGGGGAGACUGGAAUUCCUGGUGUAGCGGUGAAAUGCGCAGAUAUCAGGAGGAACACCGGUGGCGAAGGCGGGUCUCUGGGCCGAUAUUGACGCUGAGGAGCGAAAGCGUGGGGAGCGAACAGGAUUAAAAACCCGCGUAGUCC
rnacentral:rRNA from 1 species